rnacentral:rRNA from 1 species
UGGAAACGCUGGCUAAUGCCCAAUACGACCACCGAAGGCAUCUUCUGGUGGUGGAAAGCUCCGGCGGAAAGGGAUGGACUCGCGGCCUAUCAGCUUGUUGGUGAGGUAAUGGCUCACCAAGGCAACGACGGGUAGCCGGCCUGAGAGGGUGACCGGCCACACUGGGACUGAGACACGGCCCAGACUCCUACGGGAGGCAGCAGUGGGGAAUAUUGGACAAUGGGCGAAAGCCUGAUCCAGCAACGCCGCGUGAGGGAUGACGGCCUUCGGGUUGUAAACCUCUUUCAGUAGGGACGAAGCGAAAGUGACGGUACCUACAGAAGAAGGACCGGCCAACUACGUGCCAGCAGCCGCGGUAAUACGUAGGGUCCGAGCGUUGUCCGGAAUUAUUGGGCGUAAAGGGCUCGUAGGCGGUUUGUCACGUCGGGAGUGAAAACUCAGGGCUCAACCCUGAGCGUGCUUCCGAUACGGGCAGGCUAGAGGUAUGCAGGGGAGAACGGA